AUUGAACGCUGGCGGCAGGCCUAACACAUGCAAGUCGAACGCGUGGCGGACGGGUGAGUAAUGUCUGGGAAACUCCCUGAUGGAGGGGGAUAACUACUGGAAACGGUCGCUUAUACCCUAUACUCUCGGAUGCGCCUAUAUGGGUUUAUCUUGUAGGUGGGGUAAAGGCUCACCUAGGCGACGCUCCCUAGCGGGUCUGAGAGGAUGACCAGCCACACUGGAACUGAGACACGGUCCAGACUCCUACGGGAGGCAGCAGGGGGGAAUAUUGCACAAUGGGCGAAAGCCUGAUGCAGCCAUGCCGCGUGUAUGAAGAAGGCCUUAGGGUUGUAAAGUACUUUCAGCGGGGAGGCGUUACCCGCAGAAGAAGCACCGGCUAACUCCGUGCCAGCCGCCGCGGUAAUAC
rnacentral:rRNA from 1 species